AGUCAGCAGAGAGACUUCUGAACCUAAGAAAGGAAGUAGGUGGUGAGAAAAUGGAAAAAGAAGAGCUGAUGCUGAGCAAGAUAGGGAUGCACGAUUCUUUGGAAAAAGGAUGGCAGCAGGAAGAGCGAAGUUUGCUGAAGGACUUCUACUGGAUCUUGACUGGGCCUGGAGCAAGCAUGAUGGCGGACUGCACAGCCCUCAAAACAGCACUGAACACACCUGCACAGCAUGUAAAAUCAGAUAGUCAAGUCCUUCUUCAGUUUGGUGGUCUCCUGUUUGAGAACUUCUCUUUGGACUCAACUAAACUGCGCCAAUAUUCAGUGCCUCACAUACGCGAUGGCUACUUUUGGAACACUGGGGAUGGGUCACCAUAGAUCAGCAGUAAAACCCGCUUAACCAUCUGGCCUACCUUCUGGAAAUCUCUUCCUUCGGUCUGGCAUGGACUGAAUAAAUAUCUUCAUUUCUAAUAAUUGUCA
rnacentral:lncRNA from 1 species